CAGCAGCCCAGGCCGGGGUACCAUCCAGGGUGGGGGUGGGAGGGGGGGUCGAGGGAGAACCUGAAGGGGGCAGGGCAGAAGGGACCCCCGGAGCCCUGCCGCCAUCAGAGAUCAAGCAUUUGGCAUCAGGGAUCUUCGGACCCAGCAGAAGGAUCAGCCACAAGGGAGGUGUCCUCCCUAGGAAGCCAACAAGAGAGUCACCUGCCCCACAUCAGGAGCAGGGACCCCCCAUGACGCUGCUGGAAACCCUAUCAGGCCCCUAGCCCCUCAGCCUCCUUCCGGUCGCCCUCCUCGGACUCUUUGCCCAUCUCCUUUGGCAUUUGUGCCUUUCUUCCCGCUCUCUGAGCUCCAGCGCUCCUGCUACCACCCAAACGCCCCAGGGCUUAGCUGCCCUGACCCCCAUCCUGGGAUAUUUGCCAGAUCUCUGGGAGGGAGAUUGUUUGUUUGGGCCAUGCCCCCUGGUGGCCUGACAGUGUCUGCCUAGACCCCUGACCCCUAGCCCUCAACUCCCCAGGCCUCCUUUGUGUGAAGAGCUCUCCUCUGAUCAGCACUGUGGUUGGGGGCCAAAGGGAAAGCCGGCCCUGCUGGGCCCCUGGGCCCCACCACCUGCCUCCUGGUUGGGCAGCUUCCCUUGUCUUUGGGCUUCUCCCUGCUUCCCCCCUGGCCCCUCCUCCUGGGCCGCCCCAAUGAAGGAGCCGGAUGCCAUCAAGCUGUUUGUGGGGCAGAUCCCGAGGCAUCUGGAGGAAAAGGACCUGAAGCCCAUCUUUGAGCAGUUCGGUCGGAUCUUCGAGCUGACUGUCAUCAAGGACAAGUACACCGGGCUGCACAAGGGAUGUGCCUUCCUGACAUACUGUGCCCGCGAUUCAGCCCUGAAGGCCCAGAGCGCCCUGCACGAACAGAAGACUCUCCCAGGGAUGAACAGGCCGAUCCAGGUCAAGCCAGCCGACAGCGAGAGUCGAGGAGAAGACCGGAAGCUCUUUGUGGGGAUGCUAGGAAAGCAGCAGACAGAUGAGGAUGUACGGAAGAUGUUUGAACCAUUUGGGACCAUAGACGAGUGCACUGUGCUCCGGGGGCCAGACGGCACCAGCAAAGGCUGUGCCUUUGUGAAGUUCCAGACUCACGCCGAGGCCCAGGCUGCCAUCAACACCCUCCACAGCAGCCGGACCCUGCCGGGUGCCUCAUCCAGCCUGGUGGUAAAGUUUGCUGACACAGAGAAGGAGCGAGGUCUCCGCCGAAUGCAACAGGUGGCUACCCAGCUGGGCAUGUUCAGCCCUAUCGCCCUCCAGUUUGGAGCCUACAGCGCCUACACUCAGGCCCUGAUGCAGCAACAGGCAGCCCUGGUAGCAGCUCACAGUGCCUACCUCAGCCCUAUGGCCACCAUGGCUGCCGUGCAGAUGCAGCACAUGGCUGCCAUCAAUGCCAAUGGCCUCAUCGCCACCCCCAUCACUCCAUCCUCAGGAACCAGCACCCCCCCUGCCAUUGCUGCCACGCCCGUCUCUGCCAUCCCUGCUGCCUUGGGCGUCAACGGCUACAGCCCGGUGCCCCCCCAGCCCACGGGGCAGCCUGCCCCUGAUGCUCUGUAUCCCAACGGGGUUCACCCUUACCCAGCCCAGAGCCCCGCUGCCCCUGUGGAUCCCCUCCAGCAGGCCUAUGCAGGAAUGCAGCACUACACAGCAGCCUAUCCUGCAGCCUACAGCCUGGUUGCACCUGCGUUCCCCCAGCCUCCAGCCCUGGUUGCCCAGCAGCCCCCACCACCACCUCAGCAGCAGCAGCAGCAGCAGCAACAGCAACAGCAACAACGGGAAGGCCCUGACGGCUGCAACAUCUUCAUCUACCACCUGCCCCAGGAGUUCACGGACUCAGAGAUCCUCCAGAUGUUUGUCCCUUUUGGUCAUGUCAUCUCUGCCAAAGUCUUUGUUGAUCGGGCCACCAAUCAGAGCAAAUGUUUUGGCUUUGUGAGUUUCGACAAUCCAGCCAGUGCCCAGGCUGCCAUCCAGGCAAUGAAUGGUUUCCAGAUUGGCAUGAAGCGCCUCAAAGUCCAGCUAAAGCGGCCUAAGGAUGCAAACAAGCCCUACUAAGGGCUUCAGGUGGGUGCUGCUCUGUCCUGUGACCUCAUCUCCAGACUCCACAUACUGUGACCAUUCUUCCACUACCAAUCCACCCUGAUGCUGGGCAUAAGGAACUCAGGUCUGGGCCACUCCCUCAGCUAUUGUUCAGUCAGUUGUGUCUCCAGCAGCGUGUACACACACACACACACACACACACCACCCCAGAGAGAGCCAAAUCUACACCUGUGUCUACUACCAGUUUUCCACAGUAUCUGGUCUUGUCUGGUCAGUGUCCAUCCAUGUGUCUGUGUCUUUCUCUUUCUUGUUUUCCUUUGGGUUGGAUGAAAUUAGCAGAGUAGGUUUUGGGGGCCAGGAGGCUGCUUUAGAGAACUCGAGGGUCAUAGAGCCUCUUGGUUUUGAACCCUUGUCUCCUGAGAAGUGGAGACACUCAGGUCCUGUUGCCUGUUGCCCUCAACUCCAGGGCAGCGACUCUGGGGCAGAACGCGAUGGGAGUGGGCGUGGCUUGGCUUAGUGGAGGAAGUGGACUAGCACCUACCUGGGAAGUAUACUGGGCCCCUCCAGCCCAGUGAGGCCGCAAUCCAGACUUGGGGCACAGACCUGUGAACCCUGGCUACUUUUGUUUAAUCUCCUUUGGACCAAACCUUGAAAAAGUCACAACCCAAGAACAAUACCCACAUUUCUGUUUCUCCCCUUUCCCCCCAAUCCUGGCUGCUUAACCCCCCCCACCCUGGGGGCCCCCAGCCCAGGGUCCGUGUCCAUUGUCGGCUGAAGCCCCCAUCCCGGACCCCUGCUCCGGGCCCCUGUCUCGAGAUACCAGAGGAAGGGGCACUUGAUCCUCUCUUCCCAUCACUGGCCCCGGCCUUCUCUGCACAUCUGCCCUGGGCCUUGAUUGGAAUCUGGGGCAAAAGCUGCUUCAUAGCCCUAAGGGCCCAGGACCUGGCUCACUCCACCACCUUGCCUCUCUGAAGGGCCAUGGCUUUGCUUCCCUGGCUCCAAGAGCCUAUUUCCUCCCCAGUGCCCUUUUGGCCUUUGUGAGGAAGCAGGGAAUAGGCUCGAAGGCUCAGGGCUAUCUGCCUUCUGCUAAGGCUCCCGAGUUGGGCCUCGGCACCCCUGCUCGCACUUGCUCCCCUCAGUGGGCCUGGAGAAGCUGUGCAGGCCCACGAGGGCAGCCACGAGGGCAGCCAGGCGUCCUCCCUCCCAAGCGUCCUCACCCCAGCUCUUCCCCAGCAGGGGUUUCUCAGAAGCUGGUUCUCACAUUUCCCUCCACCCUCAGCUAGAGGUAGGGUAUCUCCAAAUCCCAGGCUCCCAGCCCUAAAGCUCACUGCCUCCCCCAAGGGCCCCCUCAAAGGAGGGUGUGGGGGAGCCCUAAGGGCUGCCUCUCUGCCAGUCAGUCACAGAGACCCUCCUUUCACGAGGAAAAGACCUUCCCCUGAAUCCCUAAAAAUGUUUACAGUCUCUGCUGGCCCCUCCAUGUAUAUCCCAUGACCACCAGGGCAUCACCAGCCCAACCAGCCAGACGCUGCCAUCCCUCUUUCUGGGAAUUUAGACAAUGUUGCCCUUGGAUUUUUUUCCCUCUCUCUUAUUUCUCCCUUUGCUUUGGGGGUAAUUGGGUAUUUGGGAGGAAGGGUGUGGGGAGGGCUAAAGGGGUUUAUUACCUGAUCAUUUUCUUUAGGAGGAGGUUUUAGGGAAAAGACCAUGGGUGGGGGUGGGAUGGUAAAG